UACGUAGGGGGCAAGCGUUGUCCGGAUUUAUUGGGCGUAAAGAGCGUGUAGGCGGCCUGACAAGUCUGCUGUGAAAACUCGAGGCUCAACCUCGAGAUGUCGGCGGAAACUGUCUGGCUAGAGUCCGGAAGAGGAGAGUGGAAUUCCUGGUGUAGCGGUGAAAUGCGCAGAUAUCAGGAAGAACACCUAUGGCGAAGGCAGCUCUCUGGGACGGUACUGACGCUGAGACGCGAAAGCGUGGGGAGCGAGCAGG
rnacentral:rRNA from 1 species